rnacentral:sRNA from 1 species
AGCCAUUUUUAAUUAAAAACUCCGAGGUAUGGCAGAAAAACUGUUCAGGUAUAUUAAGCUCUUCGUCCAGAGCACCUGAACAGUCAUAUUCCGAAAGGAGUAUGGGUGGCGAAAGCCAUC